rnacentral:rRNA from 1 species
GACGAACCGUGCGAACGUUAUUCGGAAUCACUGGGCUUAAAGCGCGUGUAGGCGGGCCGGCACGUCGGUCGCUGAAAUCCCCCGGCUCAACCGGGGAAGGGGCGCCGAUACGACCGGCCUGGAGGGGCGUAGGGGGACCUGGAACUUCCGGUGGAGCGGUGAAAUGCGUUGAGAUCGGAAGGAACGCCCGUGGCGAAAGCGAGGUCCUGGACGCCUGCUGACGCUGAGGUGCGAAAGCGUGGGGAGCAAACAGG